CUUCUGGGCUCUCGGGAGAUCUAACGCGGACUCCCUUGCGGGCCUAGAUUAACGAUGUCUUGCUUCGGUGUGGUGUUAAAUCGGCCUGCGCACGUUCCACCCGGGAUGGAUGUCCCUCACCGCAACGUUCGCUGCGAUCAAACGGACGCACGGCCCCAGGAUAAAUGGGGACCCGCUAUCACUGCAUUUCUUCUCCACCCUGAACUCCCUCUGCAAAGACUAAGUGCUGGGCCUGCACGCAGAUGCUUGCUGGCUGGCUUCCUCAGAAAGAACAGAUUGCAGAAGCACGCAAGCCGUAACUGCCAUGUACCUAGAAUCUUCUUUAUCGGGCCUCCUUUUGCAGGAGCUUUGAUCUGGAGGAUGCGGUCACAUUUUGCUUGGAGGUACGAAUUGUCUAGAAAAACCCAAAAAAGAAGAACACGCCCUUACAUAACUCCUCAAACUGAAUUUAAAAAGUAAGUUAACUACUUUGAAUGAUCCCCUAAUCCUCCCUUCUCUAUCUCCUGUUCUCAUCUUGUCUUUGAAUGAGAAGGGCUCCAGAGCUGUAAAAGGGGUCUUAGCAUCAUCCGUGCUGGGCACUCUGUAUCUCAGAUGAGAUACUUCCUUCACAAAGGAAAACUUUGCGUUUGGUUUAAAUUGGCAUGGAAUGCCUUUUCCCGGGAUCAGAGGGUUUAAAUAUGUUUUUAAUUUUCUAAAUGUCUGUUGACAAGUGGAUAAAGAAAAUGUGAUACACACACACAGAGGAAUAUUAUUCAGCCUUAUAAAAGGAAAUCUUAAGGCGCCUGGGUGGCUCAGUCAGUUAAGUGUCCGACUUCAGCUCAGGUCAUGAUCUCACAGUUCGUGGGUUCGAGCCCCGCAUCGGGCUCUGUGCUGACAGCUCAGAGCCUGGAGCCUGCUUCAGAUUCUGUGUCUCCUUCUCUCUCUGCCCCUCCCCUACUCACACUCUGUCUCUCUCUCUCUCUCUUUGUCUCUCUCUCCCUCGCAAAAAUAAAAAUAAAAACAUUAAAAAAAACCCACUACCUGUUAAAAAAAUAAAGGGAAAUCUUGCCAUUUGUGACAACAUGGAUGAAUCUGGAGGACAUUAUGCUAAGUGACAUCAGCCAAAUACAGAACAACAAUUGUUACAUGACUUCACUCAUACGUGGAAUCCAAGGUAGUCAAACUCACAGAAAACACAGAGCUAAAUGGCGGUUGCCAUGGGCUGUGCAGUGGGGAUAAUGGGGAGACGUCGUUCAAAGCGCACAAACUUUUAGUUGCACGAGAAGCGUAAGUUGCAGGGAUCUAAUGCAGAUCACAGUGACCAUAGUCAAUAAUAUGUUUUUAAAAAUUUGCAUUUUCGAAGAGGGGAGAUCCUAAGUGUUCUCAUCACAAACGUGCCCACACACAAAGGUAACCGUGUAAGGUGACGAAUAUUUUUUUUUAAUUUAUUUUAAAAAAAAAUUUUUUUUUUCAACGUUUAUUUAUUUUUGGGACAGAGAGAGACAGAGCAUGAACGGGGGAGGGGCAGAGAGAGAGGGAGACACAGAAUCGGAAACAGGCUCCAGGCUCUGAGCCAUCAGCCCAGAGCCCGACGCGGGGCUCGAACUCACGGACCGUGAGAUCGUGACCUGGCUGAAGUCGGAUGCUUAACCGACUGCGCCACCCAGGCGCCCCGGUGACGAAUAUUUUAAUUAGCUUGAUUGUGGUGACCAUUUCACAAUGUGUAUAUAUAUAUCAAACAUCAAGUUGUACAUCUUAUAUAUAUAAAUAAAUGUAUAUAAUUUUUAUUUGUCAAUUAUAUCUCAAGCUAAUUUUUUUUUUUUUUUACACAGUUUUUAACAAUCACUUAAUCAAACAUGUGCAGGGGCACCUGGGUGGCUCAGUUGGGAAGCAUCCGACUUCGGCUCAGGUCAUGAUCGCAUGGUGUGUGAGUUCAAGCCCCAUGUCAGGCUCUGUGCUGACAGCUCAGAGCCUGGAGCCGGCUUCAGAUUCUAUCUCCUUCUCUCUCUGCCCCUCCCCUGCUCAUGCUCUGUCUCUCUCUCAAAAAUAAACAUUUUUAAAAAAUUUUAAAAAAAGAGUUAAAUGUUUAACUGACUUCUGGGGCACCUAGGUGGCUCAGUGGGUUGGCCGUCUGAUUUCAGCUCAGGUCACGAUCUCACAGCUCGUGNGCAGGGGCACCUGGGUGGCUCAGUUGGGAAGCAUCCGACUUCGGCUCAGGUCAUGAUCGCAUGGUGUGUGAGUUCAAGCCCCAUGUCAGGCUCUGUGCUGACAGCUCAGAGCCUGGAGCCUGCUUCGGAUUCUGUGUCUCCCUCUCUCUCUGCCCCUCUCCCACUCAUGCUCUGUCUCUUUCUCUCAAAAAUAGAUAAAUAUUUUAAAAAAUGUGUGCCAUGGUCGUCAGGAAUCCUUGUGUGGCAGGGGCCAUAAAUUUCCUCGAAAAAUGGACCCUAAUAAAAGGGGGGGGCAACCCCAAGAACCGAAGGGGAGAUCCCUGGGGCCAAGCAGCUGCAGGGUCUCAGGAACAGGCUAACUUUAUCCCCUACCCACCAAAAUGCUCCCUCCCUUUCUUCGUCUCGGGAAAAAUGCACUAAGAGUAACAUACAGUGAUGCGAUGAUCAAAUGGAGAUCUCAAUUAACCAGAAAUACGGUUUUCAUUCAACUUUAGGGGCGACUGGAAGAAAGUCUCUGAGGCUUACUUCAUAGCCCCACGCUUCUUGUUUUUAAUUUUUUUUAAUGUUUGUUUAUUUCAGGGAGACAGACAGAGGGCAAGCAGGGGAGGGGCAGAGAGAGAGGGAGACACAGAAUCCGAAGCAGGCUCUGCUUUUUUAUUGUGGUAAGACACACAGAACACAAAUUUUACCAUUUUAACCAUUUUUAAGUGUGAAAUUCAGGGGCAUGAAGUACAUUCACGAUGUUGCGUAACCAUCACCACCAUUCGCGACUCUAAACAGAAACUCUGCCCAUUAAGCAGCAACUCUCCCAGCCCCCACUAACCUCUAGUCUCUUUCUGUCUCUAAGAAUCUGCCUAUUCUGGGCACUUCAUAGGAGCAGAAUCAUAGGAUAUUGGAACUUUUGUGUCUGACUUAUUUCCCUUAGCAUAAGUUUUCAAGGUUCAUCCAUGUUGUAACAUAUAUCAGAAUUUUAUUCAUUUUUAUGGAGGAAUUAUAUAUAUAUUAUAUAUAUGAUAUAAAAUAUAAAACAAUAUAAUAAUAUACAAUAUAUUCUUUUGUAUUAUAAACAAUACAUAUAUUAUAUAUGAUAUAAAAUAUAAAACAAUGUAAUAAUAAUGUAAAAUAUAUUAUUUUGCAUUAUAAAUAAUACAUAUAAUAUUAUAUAAAUGAUAUAAAAUAUAAAACAAUAUAAUAAUAUAAAAUAUAUUAUCUUGUAUUAUAAAUAAUACAUAUAAUAUUAUGUAUAUGAUAUAAAAUAUAAUUAGUAUAAUAAUAUAAAAUANNNNNNNNNNNNNNNNNNNNNNNNNNNNNNNNNNNNNNNNNNNNNNNNNNNNNNNNNNNNNNNNNNNNNNNNNNNNNNNNNNNNNNNNNNNNNNNNNNNNNNNNNNNNNNNNNNNNNNNNNNNNNNNNNNNNNNNNNNNNNNNNNNNNNNNNNNNNNNNNNNNNNNNNNNNNNNNNNNNNAAAAAAUAUAUAUAUAUAUUCCAUUCAUCUCCCGAUCAUCCCAUUCAUCUUCCAUCCAUUCCAACCACUUGGGUGAUUUUGCAUUUUGGCUAUUGUGAAUAAUGCAGCUAUGCACAUUAGUGCCCACGACAUGUCUUUGGCAGUGCUGAAUAUUCACUUUCAUAAAAAUGAGGCUGUGGUAUCUCCUGUCACAACAACAAAGAAUUCAAUUUCCCGUCAAAAUGGAGGCUGUAUGGAAUCACGGAGCAAAGAUGGGUCCCAGAGUCUUAUGGACUCAUCUUUGAUGUUGGGCUUUCACGUCCCUCCUCUCUGAUGCCGGGCAAAUGAUUUAAGCUCUCUCCAUGUUAGCCUCCUCAUCCAACAAAUGACUGACAAUAAAGGUUGAAAUGGACAUUUCUGGGCCGCUUUGAGAAUUCGGUGCUUCCCCAGUUCACUUUGUAAUCAGGAAAGCUUUUCACUUUUGAAAACCAGAUUCCUGGGCCUCAGCCCAGAGCUACUGACUGAGAAAAUCUGGGAGCGAGUCUGGAAGCCGCCUCUUUACCAGUAUCUUCAGGUGAUGCCGAUGAAGCUACAUUGAAAACAUCACCGAGAUCAAGCGUAGGAAGCCAACCCCUCGCUCAGGACUUGAUACACAGGAAGAGCUUAAGAAAUGCCAACCUUCCUUCCUGCCCCCUCCACCUCUUUGCACGGGACCCGUGAAGAAAGAACAGAGGACGACUGAUUGCAUUUGAUGCAACAAUGACUAUUUCAUGUGACAACAAAAAAAAUCGAGUGGUAAAUUGUUUUCUACACUGAAGAACUUACCAGUCACCUCCGGCUGUAAGUGAUGUUGGCUGUUUGGGUUAUAAAACUGUCUGCUUUAUUGAUUUAUCUCCUUCGUUAUGCAUUUGGGCACAACUGCAUUGUGCGCGAUUCAGAUCUGCUAAUGCGUGUGCCGGGGCAGAGAGGGGCUGGAGGAAGACACCACAUCGUGCUAUGUGACAGAGGGAACUCCCUAGAGAUAGUCAUGCAAACCUGAGACUUCAAUGAACAGAAAGAACCAGUGACUUUGUAGCAAACGCACCAGACUGAUGUUCUUUUUUUUUCUUCUUCUUUCUUCACAUUAUAAAAGGAGUGGACAGAGGGAAUGUACUAGAUGUAAUUUGUUCCAGGUUCAAAAAAGCGUAUUUGUGCCUUAUGAAAUCUUAUGAGAAAAGUGGAAUUCAAAUUGGCUUGGAGAUGAGAGCUGUCAAAUAGAUUGAAAGCUGGAUUAUAAACCAAGACUAAUGAGAGCCUACAAUGUGCGCAAAGUUAGGGAUGGAGUCCAAGAGGAUCGCUACAAGGUCUUACAGGGGAGGUAAACAGCCUAUUAAUUAAGGUAGCAGAUGGUGGUAAAUUGGGAGAUGUUUCAGAUUCCAAGGACAAAAAAAAAAAAAAAAAAAAGAAAAGAAAUGAAAGCAUGGGAUCUGUAUUGGGUAGUUAGAAACCCCAGCACGAAAUCAAUGACAGGAAAAUAGUAAGAGCCGCAGGUAGUCUUGGAAGAGAGCGGUGUUUGGAGUACCAUGGGAGUUAAAAAGAGACGAGAAAUGUUAGUGGAACGGCUUAGAAGCUGCUGGAGAGAGUGAUCCAUGAUGCAGUAGCAUAGUUUCAGGGACCCAGCAGGUUGGCUUGGGUAUGUGUGGUAACGAGUUUCUGGGUAAGGUUGGUCUUAAGAUCUCCCCAGUGAGCAUUUGCAGACAAGGAAGUUGCCUGAGUAGAAGGAGCGAAGUUGCAUGUAAACUGCAGGAGUUGUGAAGUUGCAUCGUGAAGUAAAUUAGUGUAGGGGGAAAAAGCAGGCGGGUGAGAUAACCAGUGUGAUUUGACCAGGAUAAGAAGGCGAAGGGAUCAAGGAGAAUAAGGGUUUUGGACCGCGCAGAUUGGGGACCAUCACUGACUCUUCUAUUUACCUUCAGGUAAUUGCUUAGCCUUUCGGAGUCUUUUCUCCACUAAUAAAACGAGGACAAGAUUUCUUACCUUCCAUAAGUAUUGUCAUUCGGGCGAGAUUUGUGUACAGAUCAGCAGGAACAUGGUAAGCUUUGAACCCAGGCAGGCUCGUCCUUCCAUAACGAAUGCG
rnacentral:lncRNA from 1 species